rnacentral:SRP_RNA from 2 species
UUCCGGGGUCCGGGCGACUGGCGGCCCGUGACCUGGUCAGGCCUUGACGGGAGCAGCCAACUCGGCCCCCGUUGGUGUGCUUCGGGCUCCGGUCUUU